rnacentral:snRNA from 1 species
GUGCUCACUUUGGCAGCACAUAUACUAAAACUGGAACAAUACAGAGAAGAUUAGCAUGGCCCCUGCGCAAGGAGCACACGCAAAUUCGUUAAGCGUUCCACCUCAUA